AGAGUUUGAUCAUGGCUCAGGACGAACGCUGGCGGCGUGCUUAACACAUGCAAGUCGAACGAAGCGAUUUAACGGAAGCCUUCGGGCGGAAGAUAAAUUGACUUAGUGGCGGACGGGUGAGUAACGCGUGAGCAACCUGCCCAUAAGAGGGGGAUAACAGUUGGAAACGACUGCUAAUACCGCAUAAGACCACAUUACCGCAUGGUAAAGGGGUCAAAGAAAUUCGCUUAUGGAUGGGCUCGCGUCCCAUUAGGUAGUUGGUAGGGUAACGGCCUACCAAGCCAAUGAUGGGUAGCCGACCUGAGAGGGUGAUCGGCCACACUGGAACUGAGACACGGUCCAGACUCCUACGGGAGGCAGCAGUGGGGAAUAUUGGGCAAUGGGCGCAAGCCUGACCCAGCAACGCCGCGUGAGGGAAGAAGGCCUUCGGGUUGUAAACCUCUGUCCUAUGGGAAGAAAAAAAUGACUGUACCUACAAAGGAAGCACCGGCUAACUCCGUGCCAGCAGCCGCGGUAAUACGGGGGGUGCAAGCGUUGUCCGGAAUCAUUGGGCGUAAAGCGUUCGUAGGCGGCAAGGUAAGUCAGAUGUUAAAGCCCGGGGCUCAACUCCGGUUCGGCAUUUGAUACUAUCUAGCUAGAAUGCGGUAGAGGUAAAGGGAAUUCCUGGUGUAGCGGUGAAAUGCGUAGAUAUCAGGAGGAACAUCGGUGGCGAAAGCGCUUUACUGGGCCGUUAUUGACGCUGAGGAACGAAAGCCAGGGGAGCAAAUGGGAUUAGAUACCCCAGUAGUCCUGGCCGUAAACGAUGAACACUAGGUGUUGCGGGUAUCGACCCCUGCAGUGCCGUAGCUAACGCGAUAAGUGUUCCGCCUGGGGAGUACGCACGCAAGUGUGAAACUUAAAGGAAUUGACGGGGGCCCGCACAAGCAGUGGAGUAUGUGGUUUAAUUCGAAGAUACGCGAAAAACCUUACCAGGUCUUGACAUCCAACUAACGAGGUAGAGAUACGUUAGGUGCCCUUCGGGGAAAGUUGAGACAGGUGGUGCAUGGUUGUCGUCAGCUCGUGUCGUGAGAUGUUGGGUUAAGUCCCGCAACGAGCGCAACCCCUAUCGUCCGUUACUAACACAUUAUGGUGAGGACUCAGACGAGACCGCCGGGGACAACUCGGAGGAAGGUGGGGACGACGUCAAAUCAUCAUGCCCCUUACGACCUGGGCUACACACGUGCUACAAUGGGUACAACAAAGGGAAGCGAAAUCGUAAGGUGGAGCGAAACCCAUAAAAGUACUCUCAGUUCAGAUUGUGGGCUGCAACCCGCCCACAUGAAGUUGGAGUUGCUAGUAAUCGCGGAUCAGCAUGCCGCGGUGAAUACGUUCCCGGGCCUUGCACACACCGCCCGU
rnacentral:rRNA from 1 species